CCCUUAGAUGUUCUGGGCCGCACGCGCGCUACACUGACUGGUGCAACAAGUGUCGCUCCUUGGCCGAUAGGCCUGGGCAAUCUUUGAACGCCAGUCGUGAUGGGGAUAGAUUCUUGCAAUUUUUGAUCUUCAACGAGGAAUUCCUAGUAAACGCGAGUCAUCAACUCGCAUUGAUUACGUCCCUGCCCUUUGUACACACCGCCCGUCGCACCUACCGAUUGAAUGGUCCGGUGAAUUCUUCGGACUGCGGCUUUGACUCGAUUUCGGUCGAGGCGUUGCUGCGGGAAGUUGAUUAAACCUUACCAUUUAGAGGAAGGUGAAGUCGUAACA
rnacentral:rRNA from 1 species